UGGGUCUCGCUCGUUACCUGACUUAACAGGAUGCUUCACAGUACGAACUGACGACGGCCAUGCACCACCUCUCAGCUAAUCCGGCAAAGUCUUCAGCCUGGCCUUCAUAUUGCUGUCGGUCCCGGUAAGAUUUCCGGCGUUGAAUCCAAUUAAACCGCAAGCUCCACCCGUUGUGAUGCUCCCCCGCCAAUUCCUUUAAGUUUCAGCCUUGCGGCCGUACUUCCCAGGUGGCUCGCUUCACGGCUUCCCUACGGCACCGACAACGGUCGCACCGUGGCCGACACCUAGCGAGUAUCGUUUACGGCUAGGACUACCCGGGUAUCUAAUCCGGUUCGUGCCCCUAGCUUUCGUCCCCUGCCGUCAGGUCCGUUCUGGUGAGACGCCUUCGCCACUGGUGGUCCUUCAAGGAUUACAAGAUUUCACCCCUACCCCUGAAGUACCUCUCACCUCUCCCGGCCUCGAGCCAGACAGUAUCUCCUGAAAGCCUGACAGUUAAGCUGCCAGAUUUCUCAAGAGACUUAUCCGGCCGGCUACAGACCCUUUAGACCCAAUAAUAACGGUUACCACUCGAGCCGCCGGUGUUACCGCGGCGGCUGGCACCGGUCUUGCCCGGCCCUUGCUAUGAAAUGCUUUUUAGGCAUCUCGACAGCCAGAUUUGUAACCUGGCACUCGAGGUUCCCUUAUCGCUGUUGCCAGCAUUGUAAAGUUUUCGCGCCUGCUGCACCCCGUAGGGCCUGGAUUCGUGUCUCAGAAUCCAUCUCCGGGCUCUUGCUCUCACAACCCGUACCCGUCGUAGGCUAGUAGGUACACUACACCCACUACUACCUGAUAGGCCGCAGACCCAUCCUUAGGCGCCGGAGCUUUUAAUCUCGAUGCAUUCCAGCAGCCGAGAUCUAUCGGGGAUUAUACCCAGUUUCCCGGGUUUAUACCCGACCUAAGGGCAGGUUGUCCACGUGUUACUGAGCAGUACGCCAUGUAUUGCUACAUUCGACUCGCAUGGCUUAGUCGAACCUCGAUAGCAGUAACCUCUGGCAGGAUCAACCGGA
rnacentral:rRNA from 1 species